rnacentral:lncRNA from 10 species
AGCUACUACCCCCUGCCAUGCUCUAGAGGAAAUCCCAAUUCUGACUUUUAUCAAAAUUACUUCCUUGCUUUCCCUUAUAAUUUUACCAACCAUGCAUGCAUCCCUAAAAAAGGCUGUAGUUUGGCCUGAUUUUGAAUUUUAUGUUAAUGGAAUAAUGCAGAAUGUAUUAUUUUGUGUCCAGCUUAUUUUGUUCCACAUUCUUUUUGUGAGAUUUAUCCAUGUUGUUUCAAGUAGCUAUGGUUCAUGCUUUUUAAUUGCUGUAUAGUUUUCCUUUUUAUGAAUAGACAAUCAUUUAGUUGUGUUGUUAGACAUUUAGGUUACUGGUCUAAAACGUUUUAUAAAUAUACACAUAUACUCCCACUCCACUUAUAGCCAUGUAAAUUCAGAGCUGAUUUCUUUAUAAACUCAAGAACUUGAGUGUGGCUUUAAAAUGUAGCAAAAUCCCUCUAUCAAGUUCUUGGUUACACAGCUAUUUUGGUUUUUUUCACUUUCUGUAAAUCUAGGGACAUAAUCCAUCUUCCUCAACAUGGGUAACAUCAUAAGAUUUUCCCCUCACCUGAGUCAUUAAGCGUAAGAUCAACACCACACUCGGGCAACUGGGCAUUUCCUUCAGACAGUCUAGAAAAUGAUUGUUAGCACAUAGGCUUAAGGAAUGUACUCUGAAAGUAUUACAAGAAAUAUUUUCUAUAGUCUGUUUAGGAAACUAGUAAGCCACAUAGGACAAACUCUUCUCCACUUUCCCAGGGCUGGCCCCACCCCACUGGCAGAGCACAGGUAGCCCUUCUGCCAUAGGGCACAAAUUAAACAGGGAUGCCCCUGAUCGCUGCCAGACUUGCUGAACAGUAUCAUGGUGCUGCUCAAAUGAUCCAUUUUUUCAGCUCAGACUCCAAGCAGUAAGUGAAUCUUUCCACCAAGAGAUGAAACCCCCUCCCAUAACCAGAGUCAGGCAACCACGGGUCCCACAGACCACAGCCAGCACUGGGCAGGGAGCUCAGUUGAGAGGCAGAGCUGCCACUCUGCACUGCCCUGGAUGGCAUGGGCGAGCACACUGGCAGGCAGCCACACCUUCUGCAGAAAUCAAUUGAUAAAGACACCCUUAAAGCCUGUGCUUUGAACAAGUGGUAAGUUAACAACGAUAAGGGCCUGAAGCAAUACGCAGUUGUAUAGACCUCCCAGAACAAAGCAAUUUGAUAUACCAGCAGCACAGGACCCAGCUGGGCCAGAGCCUUUCUUUGGCCACAAGUGUGAGCAAGGAUGACUGAUGGUGAUCCUUGGUUGAGAAGGAGCCGGCACCCAAUGGCAGAGCCAUGCUCAGUCUCUGAAGGGUGUGGGUGGACUACUCUCAAGCAAUCCUUUUGUCAGCCUCACAAAGCUCUUUUCAGAGACCAUUAACUCUAGCUACCUGGUUACACUCUACCUGGUCCCAGAGUGAACAAUCCCAAUUAAGGCAAAGCCCUAUGGAAUGCUUCCCUAACAAGGCUGUCUGCCCAGGUGUACUACAGGUUACAUUUAAAAACCAGGCUUUUGGAGAAAAACUCGUAGUCAACAGUUGUUCGGCUCGGAUUCACUCACAAUUCCAAAUAACUUGAGGAAAGAAGAGGAGCUGCAGUUGACUUUUGAGCACUGACACUUAAUUUUGGGGUCCUUUAGUUAGUAGGCAGAGUUGGUAAACUGAUUUUUUUUUUAAUAACAGGGAGGGACCGAAAAUCUAUGGCACACUUGGGAAAAAAAAUUGGGCACAUAUGACAACUCUUUAAAAACUGCCCUUUGAACAGAAAAGUCUGCUAUUCUAGUAUGUAAGACUUUGGAGUCAUCUGGGAAUUGAUUUGAAAUGCACAUUUUCUUGUCACCCCAUAUUCACACUGUAAGAACUAGGGAAGUGACGGACUACCCACUUGGCCUUAGGCCCAAUUCCAGAGGCAUGAAAUGUUGGCAGACUAAGAAAAUAUGGUCCUUUCUCUGCCAUUAGAAAAAAUAACAAAGAAUUCACUGGACAUGGUGGCAUACACCUGCAGUCCUAUCACUUGGGAGGCUGAGGUGGAAGGAUCACUUGAGCCCAGGAGUUUAAAGCUGCAGUGAGCUAUGAUUGUACCACUGCAUCCAGCCUGGGUGACAAAGAACCUAUCCCCCCAAAAAAGAAAAUAUGAUCGUUUGACCAAAGGCCUUUUCGAAGUGCCUGUAAAGUGAAAAUUAGUCACAGCACUAAGAUUACUUGGCUUUUUUCACCAUUCUCAAGUAGGCAGUGGAGUUUCCAAGUAACAAGACUGGUAUAAAAAGUGCACAAGCACAUAAGAAGCUAGAUAUCUUUGAAGAGAUCUAUGUUGGUUUUGAUUUCUAAUGUAAAUAUUUGUAAUUCACCCAACAAAACUCACCUAGACUAGUAUAUUAAUGUAUUUAUGAACUAAAAUAAAGAUGACAGUUUUUAAAAAAAAAUUUGGAGGAGUGGGAGAGCAGGUGUCCCUUGUUGGCUUUGUGGGUAGCUCAGUGGUUUGCACCUGUGCAGCAGUGGUUUCUAUUUUUUGUGUCAUGAUGGGUCCUUCCUAGUGACUACCUGUCCCAACCACUUGGGUUUAUAGGUCCCCAAGAUGAAGGGCCAUGUCUCCUCCAUCAGUUUAGGGGCUGCCAAGAUCAGGAAACCUAUUAAGUGCCACCAAGGGAGAUAAAUGACUAAGUGCUGUUCUUCCUCCACCUGAGUGGUGCCACUCGAGAUAGGAGCCGC